GGGGAUGCCGGGUAUCGAUAAUUAAGAUUGUCCUUAGAUAUUCAUGACGGGUUUUGGUUACACCGUAAAAAUAACCUAAAAAACAAGUGUCAAAAACACUGCAAGAGCGUUUACUUGGAAUGUUCCGAGUUUCGCUCCCGUUAUGGCUUAAUUAAAAAAUAGCCGUAGCCAUCGGACUGGUGCCGCCUCAGCAUCAACAACCGGUGUCAUUAUCGAGGCUCGGAAAUCAUCGGUCUCCUCCUAAUGAUUUCGACACAAUGAGGGGUGGCUGACGUUUCUUUUGUCUGAUUUUUGAGAACGUCGGCGACACAAAUAAAUCAGGCUAUUCUUGUAAAUGUAUCUAGGGUCACUUAUUAGACAUGGGUUCAACUCCCAUCAUCUCCACAA
rnacentral:tmRNA from 1 species